rnacentral:rRNA from 1 species
AACGUCUGACACAGGUGCUGCAUGGCUGUCGUCAGCUCGUGUCGUGAGAUGUUGGGUUAAGUCCGUAACGAGCGCAACCCUUGUCCUUAGUUACCAGCACGUUAUGGUGGGCACUCUAAGGAGACUGCCGGUGACAAACCGGAGGAAGGUGGGGAGUGACGUCAAGUCAUCAUGGCCCUUACGGCCUGGGCUACACACGUGCUACAAUGGUCGGUACAAAGGGUUGCCAAGCCGCGAGGUGGAGCUAAUCCCAUAAAACCGAUCGUAGUCCGGAUCGCAGUCUGCAACUCGACUGCGUGAAGUCGGAAUCGCUAGUAAUCGUGAAUCAGAAUGUCACGGUGAAUACGUUCCCGGGCCUU